UACGUAGGGACCAAGCGUUGUUCGGAUUUACUGGGCGUAAAGGGCGCGUAGGCGGCCCUACAAGUCACUUGUGAAAUCUCCGGGCUUAACUCGGAACGGCCAAGUGAAACUGUAAGGCUAGAGUGCAGAAGGGGCAAUCGGAAUUCUUGGUGUAGCGGUGAAAUGCGUAGAUAUCAAGAGGAACACCUGAGGUGAAGACGGGUUGCUGGGCUGACACUGACGCUGAGGCGCGAAAGCGUGGGGAGCGAACAGG
rnacentral:rRNA from 1 species